GAUCUUCCCCUUCUCUUCUUCUUUUCUUCUCCCUUCUUCCUCCCUCUCUCGCUUCUGUCACGCGCAGCACCCUACUCCUCUCUUUCUUCCUUUUCUUUUCCUCCUUCCUUCUCUUUUCUUCUUCUCCAGCAACGCAGCCCCCCCCCCCCCCCCCGCCCCGUUCCACACGCAGCCCGACCCCUUCCACUGCAGUUCUCCUUCUCUUCUUCCGAUUUCACAGCACGAUCUCCCCCUCCCCUCUUCCAUCAUCUUCUCCUCUUCCUCUCCUCGCACCAGCAGCCCUUCCCCUUCUUCCCUUCCUUUCCGUCGCAUUCAGAGGGACCAAGAGAGAGACUUUGGGGUCCGUUUUUCCGGUGGGUCGUCGGUGAAGCAAAUAGGCACGAUUUUCGGUGAUUUUCUAGCGAUCUAGAGCUGACUUCCGGCAAAAUCAAAGGACGAUUUUCAAUGGGGUCGACGAAGGGUUGUGUUAUAAUUGGAGACUUUAAUGGGUUCUUCAAUGUAGAGUUGGAGUCGUGAGUCCAAUGCAGCCAGGUUUUAAAUAAAGAUGUAAUUAAUUUCAUUGAUUUUGGGCUUAAAGCACCCUUUGAGAAGACCUAGAAGAUGUGGUUAAGUUUAAUCAAAUCAAGGGAAUGAUUAAAUCAAAAUUUCUCCAAUAAGAGUCAAAAUCGGAUUAAGAUUCAAAUUCGGAUUCUGUACAUGCCUCAGUAUUUUGAUCAUAACUUUCUGAUUAGAUCUCAUAUUGUAAUGAAAUUGGUGGCGUUAAAAAUCUAAUAAAAAAUUCAACAAAUAUGAAAGAAAUAGUUUUUUCCUAAUUCAGACGAUUUCUAUGCCAAAAUCGUCUCGCAAUAAAAGACCGUAAAUCUAGACGAAUUUGAAAUCAUUUUCCUACUUGAAUUGAAUUUUCAAUAUUUUAUUUAGAUUAAGAGAUUAAGUUCUGAUUUUUCUUGGAUUCCUAAGGCUUUUAGGCCUUCCCUAAUCUCUAUAAAUAGACCCUUAAGUUUCAAGAGAAGGUGUGCUUAGCUUUAAACAGAAAAUUCUUCUUGGAGGCUUGACAAGUUGAAGAGGAGAAGAACAUGGCAAGAGGCCAUACUAGCACUACGAUGAGCGGUUAAAUUCGUAAUAGGGUGUUGAUGUAGCCCUUUUCAAGUAACAAUGGUUUAAUUGUAUUUUAAUUUAGGAUUUUCUAUAUGGAUGAUGA